CCACUCUCACGUACGUGGAUACUACAGUAUCCAAAACAAUAAUGGCGGCAUCCGUACAUGGAUACUACAGUAUCCAAAACGACAAGUUUAAGAAAAUUACAUCUAGUUAAAACUGAGGCUAGAGAUAAACGUUUUUAUCGACGUAGAAUGAUAGCUUAGGAAACAGUUCACCCAAUAAACUACAGAUGGCAAUGAAAUAUGAUUAGUUCUCUGUAAAAAAAAAAUCCAAACUCAAGUGACUCGUUCUUGUGAAUUUUGUGAACAAGUGUUUCGGAGUUUCAGCAAUUAUGUCGUUUAUCGUUAUGGACAGUGCGGUAUCCACGGACGUUAGAGCAAACGUCAUAAAUAAGGGUUUGUACAAACGAAAAAAUAUGUUUGCAAUUUUUUGUUACGCAUGGUGUAAUGUGUUUAUUUAUGUCUAUGAUUAUGAUAUUGGAAAAUAAUUGCACUUUUGAUGCACUUCAAUUUCCUUAGUGAAGUGCAUUAUAAUGCUAUUUUGCAUUAAUUUAAUUGACAUACGAACAUUCAUUUGCUAAUAACUUAUGCUAAUUCUAAUCAAUCCUAUACUGGUGGAUGUUAGUUUAGGUGCUGCAGUAGUGGCCGUGGCAGUCGUGGAGACCGUGGGGGACGUGGAAACAGUGGAGAAACGGUGGAUUAUCAUUUACAACUCGAAAUCUUAUCAAAAAUGUCUCAUUAAAAUUUACGACACUGUUA